rnacentral:lncRNA from 1 species
AGUGGAAAGAGCAAAAGACUGAGAAGACAUCUCCUUUCUUCAACUGACCUCAUCUCUUGCUUGGACCACUGAAGCAGAAGCAGGCUUCUAGCAGCCUCUCUGUUGCCACCAUCUUUCCUUUCCAUCCAUUCUCCAAAAAGCAACCUAAGCGAUCAUCCCAAGGCCCACAAGGCCCUGUAUGAGCAACUUUUGCCUGCCUCUUCAACUACAAAGAGCCAAGUCUUUCCUGGUAUAGAGUGGAGUGUGCAUGCUUUAUAUCUUCCAAAAAGAAGCAAGA